rnacentral:rRNA from 1 species
GACGGGGGGGGCAAGUGUUCUUCGGAAUUACUGGGCGUAAAGGGCUUGUAGGCGGCCAACUAAGUCCGACGUGAAAUCCCCAGGCUUAACCUGGGAACUGCGUCGGAUACUGGAUGGCUUGAAUUCGGGAGAGGGAUGCAGAAUUCCAGGUGUAGCGGUGAAAUGCGUAGAUAUCUGGAGGAAUACCGGUGGCGAAGGCGGCAUCCUGGACCGACAUUGACGCUGAGGAGCGAAAGCUAGGGGAGCAAACGGG